CCUACGGGAGGCAGCAGUGGGGGAUAUUGCACAAUGGGGGGAACCCUGAUGCAGCGACGCCGCGUGGGUGAAGGAGUGCUUCGGCAUGUAAAGCCCUAUCGGCAGGGAAGAAGCAAGACGGUACCUGACUAAGAAGCCCCGGCUAACUACGUGCCAGCAGCCGCGGUAAUACGUAGGGGGCGAGCGUUAUCCGGAUUCACUGGGGGUAAAGGGAGCGUAGACGGCAGGGCAAGUCUGGAGUGAAAGGCGGGGGCUCAACCCCCGGACUGCUCUGGAAACUGCCAGGCUGGAGUGCAGGAGAGGUAAGUGGAAUGCGUAGUGUAGCGGUGAAAUGCGUAGAUAUUAGGAGGAACACCAGUGGCGAAGGCGGCUUACUGGACUGUAACUGACGUUGAGGCACGAAAGCGUGGGGAGCAAACAGGAUUAGAUACCCGAGUAGUC
rnacentral:rRNA from 1 species